rnacentral:rRNA from 1 species
UACGUAGGGUGCUAGCGUUGUUCGGAAUCAUUGGGCGUAAAGCGCGUGUAGGCGGUUAGUUAAGUCGGGUGUGAAAUCCCUGGGCUCAACCGAGGAAGUGCAUUCGAAACUAACUAGCUAGAAGAUGGUAGAGGAAGGUGGAAUUCCAAGUGUAGAGGUGAAAUUCGUAGAUAUUUGGAGGAAUACCGGUGACGAAGGCGGCCUUCUGGGCCAUUCUUGACGCUGAGACGCGAAAGCGUGGGGAGCAAACAGG